CUAAAGCAACUACACGUUUUUAACUUUGCGAGGGCCAUGAAAAAUUUGCUAAAUGGCACGCCUUGAGUUCUAAGGAUUUCAAAAGAAAUAUAUAAAUGAGGGCCACACAAUUGUCAUUUAUUUUUGCACGACGCACCUAAUUUAAAUUUAAAAGGGUAUCCAAAGUAGUCUUCGGAGAGUCAUAAACUACUUGUAUUAUAAAAUAUGACUCGUCCAGCAAUAUUAAAGGAAAUUGGCUAAUUGAUUAAAGGGUGUAAGAAAAUCAUGAAGCCUGCUCUACCAAUUCGCGAGGCUGGGGAAUUGGGCCAACGAUGUCCAUCAACGUGAAGGCUCUAAUGUGCAGCAAGAAAAGUGCUUGCAGCAAAGCCCAAUCCCUUUUCUUUAUUUCCAAAUGCCUUCAAGCCUUUGGGUCUGAAUUAUGCCAAAUCCUAUCAAAAGAGAAGACAAUGGUAGGUAGUGCCCAGGGAUCAAAUCCCUGAGGAACUAACAUCAAUUUAAGCUCCCAAAGUCAGGAAUUUUAAUUCAAAGCAUCAUAAAAUCCAAAAAUGCGGCACUAAUUGGCAUAAGCAGGAAUGACUUAAGCCAAUUGAAAUGUAAAGUGCAUAACAAUUUCAGAACAUCUUAUGUUUAAACCAUUGAAACUUUUGAAAGGCAAUUAAGAAGUUUGCUGAAAUAACACAAAAAUCUAGUAGUCACUCAAACAGGAUAGGUUAUUGAAUUCAUAUCUUAUUCAAACUUCAUACUAAAACCUAGUUAAACAUGCUUGAUUUUACUACACACUUUUUCAUAAAACAACCAUCCAAAUCAACCUAAAAUCACUGACAUUUGCAAAUCAGAGCACCUCUUUUACUUUUAGCCAUUCUCAAAGGAGACUUUACCAACAGAAGAAACAACAACCUAAUAGCUUCAGCCUUCAAACACAUGUUCAUUCUUAUCAACAUGAUCAACUAGAAUUGACUUCAACAAACAACUUGAAGGAUUAUUAGACUCCACAUCUCUAUAUGGUAAAUUUUGAUUUCAAACCAAAAAUACUAGUCGACACCUUCAAGCAAUUUUCUCCUGCAAAAUAUUUAACAGUUCAUUCAUACAAAUACAAUUCAAAUACUAUUACAAUGCCAAACAUUUUGAAAUUUAACACUCAAUCUAAAUAGCCAAACCUCCUUAAGCUACUAACAUGAACCAGCAAACAAACACAAACAAGAAACUACUUUACGACAAAACUGAAGAGUUUAAUCACAUAAAACAGCAGAAACUAGCAAUAAUUACAUAAAGAAGAAGUGAGGCUAAUAAAAUACUGCAAAAGUAGAACCCAUCAACAUGAAUUAAACCAGCAAACCAAUCUCAAACCAAGAGAGUGAAGUACAAUAAUCCAGAAAUAAGUCUCAGUAAAACAAUAACCCAAAACACCUCAAACUCAAAUCAAAAUAGGAUUCACACACAAACUUAGCUAAGAAUCAGCUUUCAAAAACAACAAAUUAAACCAUCUUCAAACAUGUAUAAGUAAGAGAUUGCCCCAGAAAUUCAAAACCUCAGUAAUUAAAGCAAGAAAAUCUAUGGAAGAGUAGUUUUUGAUCCAAUUUUCAGCUGUUUUUAUUUUUAUGGACUUGUAUCCCUUCCCAGUCCCCUUAAAAUACAAGGAAGAGAUGCCUCUAUAGGCAAGGAAGUAGGGCAUUACCAAUGUCACUAUGUUUUAACCCUAAUCCUUUUCAUAUUUUUAUUUUUGCUCAACUUCCCCUAAUAUAAUUAUAAAUUUAUCAAAAACAGCCUCCACCGUGCUUCCUUGGCGCUUCUAUUUCAGUUAACAAAGAUUCCCCUAAGCAAUUACCCAAAAAUACCCUUGACAGCCCUGUUAUUUACUCUCAGCAAAUUACCUAGGUCAAGUAGACCCAUUGUUUCCAUUCUAACUAUGGGCUGACCCACUUCACUCUUGACCCGAAAAUGAAUUUAGUUCACAAAAUCAGUUGGGCAGAAAAAUAGACGGGCAAGGGAAUUCAAUAGACCCUUGGACAAAAAUCCCAAUUCAGCUCGUAACUCUAAAAAUAAACAGCAAUUGAAUCAAACAAAUAUAAAAAAUCCAAAUAAACUAAUCAAAAAGUAAAAAACAAAUGGCAAUUAACCCCUGAUUUAACAUAAAAGGAACACAUGCAACAUGAUUUUAAGAACACAGAAAGGAAGGAGUAGAGGAAGAUAAUAAUAAAAGAAGGAAAACAUGGAAAAGAUAAAACAAGGAAUACUUACUAGUGGACCACCGUCUCAAAAUAAGCUUCAAUGAAUCUUCGGAUUUGUGGCCGAAAUAAACUUAAUCCUGGGUUCUCGACUGAGGACACACAAGUAAAACUGAAUUCGUCCUCAAACCUUCAAACAACUAAUGAUUUGGAUUUUUUGCGAUUUUAGGUUUUAGGAUUUUGAUUCCAGAUUC
rnacentral:lncRNA from 1 species